GUCCAGGAUAGCCUAGUGGACAUGGCAUCUGCCCGGUAAGCGGAACGUUGUGGGUUCGAUUCCCGCCCCUGGACA
rnacentral:tRNA from 1 species